AAGUUCCCUACGCCAGUUCUCUCUUUGCCUGCUGCCAUCCAAGUGGUAUGUGACUUGCUGCUCCUUGCCUUCUGCCAUAAUUGUGAGGCCUCCUCAGCCACAGGGAAAUGACUCUGCUUACCCUUUGUGAAUAAGCCCAGUGAAUCUGCUGAGUGAUGAGAGAGAGAGUGGGCCAGUCACUUCAUUGCUCCAGGCAACAUGCAGUUAUCUUCCCCCAGGUGGUUAUGUUGAACAUGUAAAUAUUCUCCCUGCUGUGAGUAUUACUGCAGCUGCCCAAAGAUGCUAUAUUUUAAAGAUGUGGAUACAGGAAGAUAAAAGCAUCAGAAACACUGCAUGAGGGAGCAAAGUAAUAUAAUUCCACAAAAUGCACCAUCCUGUGACCCCUUCAAGGAAGGACAUGCUGCUCAGCCCUAUGAGAACAAGAAAAUCAUUCAGACUGCAGCUCCCUGGUUUUAGACAUCCCCACUGGCAAUUGGGACAUCUAUUUUGGAGAUGUAAUUGAAAAGACUGAAGAAUGUACUGAGGACCUUCUGGCUGACAGAAGCUGACAAAGAAGCCAAGAUUGGUGAAGAUUUCUGCAAUACCUGAGUUUCUAAUCACAACAACAAAAAUGACCUGGAUAGAAGUACUUGAUGGGCAUCACGUAGCUGGCUGCUGGUAGAAACACUGAAGCAGAACUUGUAAUAUCUUCAAAAAAAGUGAAGGCCAGGAAUCAGAAAUGCUUCUGAAGGUCAGCUGCCUCUCCAGCCAUCUAUGAAGAGCUAUGGUUCUGAUUCCUGGCUAAUAUCAGAAUCAUCCUGGGAGCUUCUGAAAAUCCUGAUGCUCAAGUCACACUCCAUACUCAGGCAUCUUCAGUUUUUCUAAGUACCUGGUGUGCUGGAGCACACGGAGUGAGAGGAAUCCAAGCAUAGAAUAAUUUUGGAGAGGAGGAAAGGUCAUGGAGAUCCUGUGGGCCAUGGCAAGGAGCCUGAAUUCUAUUUUAAACGAAAGGAAAAGGCAUGGUUGUGUAAGCAGAAGCUGGAAGACCCUUGAAAAGAGCAUUCAUUCAAGAAAUGAAGCAUGAAAUAGGAUGGAAGGAGGGAAGAAAGACAAGCACAUGGCAUAUCAGGUCUCUUCCAGUGCUAAAGGCUGCCUAUGAUACUCAUCUGACCUGAUUUCUCCUGCACAGUGUUGCAACUGACGAGUAGCAGACUUGCCCUUGCCUGCAUUUGGGGGGAUGGCUGAGACUUUUCUUAUAGAAAGCCCUACUUUCAGCAUGAACACUAACCCAGUUUAUUGGCUCAGGGUGUAGAGAGUUGCCUUGUCACUGGCGAAGUCAGAUGCAGCCAGUACCAGAGCUCUGCACUAGCUGUGAACACUAAGGAAGAACAGCUGAGUGAGGAAGCAGAGUGCCAGGCAGCACAUCCUUCUUCAGGUGUUUCCUGCCCUGGGACAGAUCCCAGGCACUGCAGCAAUAUCUCUGCAUGAUCUAGGGCUCCUGGAAAUAGCCCCUUAAGGGCAAAACUCACUGCCCAGAAAACAUUAGAACAUUAAAAGAGCAGGGUCUCAUCUGAUUGUCUUGGUUUCCUGAGGCUCAUUCAGUCUGUGUCCACUGGUUUCAGUCUGAGUUCUCUGCACUUUGAGGAUGCAGACAGUGAAGUUCUCUCAUGGUUAUAGGGGGAGAGAUCAUAGGAAUGCUAUGGAAAGAGGCCUGAAGUCAGAGCCAGCUAGUGGUUAUUAUUUAUUAACUGCCUGUGAGGUGCCAGGAGCACAUAUUAGACCAUAUGUGAUUGCAGUGAGCCACCCGUAUCCCCUUCAAGCUGUUGCUGCAGCUGAUGGAAGUCCUAUUGGCAGACAGCCUUCUCUCAUCAGCCCCUUCAGGACUUGCCUCAGUUGCAGAGAGCUGCCUUCCCCAAGAUCACACCCUUCCCUGGGGACUCGCAACCAACGGCUGAUCCAGAAGAAUCCAUAAAGCCCGUAUCAUUUCAGCCCAAUUUAGGACAGCUUUGUUGAGCCAUUAGACCUACAUGCAGCCCAACCUCUCCUUCUACCCACUUCUUUCUUUCUUUCCUUCCACGGUGUCUGUUCCAAGCACUUGCCUUAAUAAACAUGUAACAGGUUAAACUCUGUCUCGAUGUCUGCUUCAAGGAGAACCCAACCUGUGACAGUGAUAACAGAUAAAAACAAAGGACAUCACUUUUCCCUGCCUUACUUUCUAUUUACCACUAAAAAGGGUCUUGGACUUGCCCACUCAGUUUCUUCUCUUUCUUCACUGGGAGAUGGUCCCUCCACUACCACAGACACAAAAAAGAAGAGUCGGGAAGAGAGAGGGGUGAAAACAUUUGGGGCACUGCAGGCCUAGUGCUAGGUGACUGAAGACUACCUGGAGGGUACAGGAAGUGACUGUUUCUCCAUCAUGUAUUGUAUU